GUGAACGCUGGCGGCGUGCUUAACACAUGCAAGUCGAACGGACUUAAUGAGCUUGCUUAUUAAGUUAGUGGCGCACGGGUGAGUAAUAUAUAGCUAACCUGCCCUUUAGUGGGGGACAACAGUUGGAAACGACUGCUAAUACCCCAUACUCCUUCUUGUCUUAAGAUAAGUUGGGAAAGAUUUAUCGCUAAAGGAUGGGGCUUUAUUGUAUCAGCUAGUUGGUGGGGUAAUGGCCUACCAAGGCAAUGACGCAUACCUGGUCUGAGAGGAUGAUCAGGCACACUGGAACUGAGACACGGUCCAGACUCCUACGGGAGGCAGCAGUGGGGAAUAUUGCACAAUGGAGGAAACUCUGAUGCAGCAACGCCGCGUGGAGGAUGACGCAUUUCGGUGUGUAAACUCCUCUUAAGAGGGAAGAUAAUGACGGUACCUCUUGAAUAAGCACCGGCUAACUCCGU
rnacentral:rRNA from 1 species